rnacentral:rRNA from 1 species
UACGGAGGGUGCAAGCGUUAUCCGGAUUCACUGGGUUUAAAGGGUGCGUAGGAGGGCAGGUAAGUCAGUGGUGAAAUCCCCGAGCUUAACUUGGGAACUGCCGUUGAUACUAUCUGUCUUGAAUAUUGUGGCGGUGAGCGGAAUAUGUCAUGUAGCGGUGAAAUGCUUAGAUAUGACAUAGAACACCAAUUGCGAAGGCAGCUUGCUACACAUAUAUUGACUCUGAGGCACGAAAGCGUGGGGAUCAAACAGG